rnacentral:tRNA from 1 species
AGCUGUUUAGUUUAUUAUUGAAUUUUC